GACGAACGCUGGCGGCGUGCUUAACACAUGCAAGUCGAACGGAAAGGCCCUGCUUUUGUGGGGUGCUCGAGUGGCGAACGGGUGAGUAACACGUGUGUAACCUGCCCUUGGUUUUGGGAUAACUUCAGGAAACUGGGGCUAAUACCGGAUAGGAGCUCCUGCUGCAUGGUGGGGGUUGGAUAGUUUCGGCGGUUGGGGAUGGACUCGCGGCUUAUCAGCUUGUUGGUGGGGUAGUGGCUUACCAAGGCUUUGACGGGUAGCCGGCCUGAGAGGGUGACCGGCGACAUGGGGCCUGAGAGACGGCGCAGACGCCUACGGGAGGCAGGAGUGGGGAAUAUUGCACAAUGGGCGGAAGCCUGAUGCGGAAACGCCGCGUGCGGGAUGACGGCCUUCGGGUUGUAAACCGCUUUCGCCUGUGACGAAGCGUGAGUGACGGUAAUGGGUAAAGAAGCACCGGCUAACUACGUG
rnacentral:rRNA from 1 species